rnacentral:rRNA from 1 species
GAUGAACGCUGGCGGCAUGCCUAACACAUGCAAGUCGAACGAAGCUGCUCGGAAAGAGAUUUCGGUCAAUUGAAGAGUAGACUUAGUGGCGAACGGGUGAGUAAUGCAUGAGCAACCUGCCCUUCAGUGGGGGAUAACAGCCGGAAACGACUGCUAAUACCGCAUAACAUUUUCGAGAGGCAUCUCUUGAAAAUCAAAGAUUUAUUGCUGAAGGAUGGGCUCAUGUCUGAUUAGUUAGUUGGUGAGUUAACGGCUCACCAAGACCGCGAUCAGUAGCCGGUCUGAGAGGAUGAACGGCAACAUUGGGACUGAGAUACGGCCCAGACUCCUACGGGAGGCAGCAGUGGGGAAUAUUGGGCAAUGGGCGAAAGCCUGACCCAGCAAUGCCGCGUGAAGGAAGAAGGCCUUCGGGUUGUAAACUUCUUUUAUCAGGGACGAAGAAAGUGACGGUACCUGAUGAAUAAGCUCCGGCUAACUACGUGCCAGCCGCCGCCGUAA